rnacentral:rRNA from 1 species
GUGGGGAAUCUUGCGCAAUGGGCGAAAGCCUGACGCAGCCAUGCCGCGUGAAUGAUGAAGGUCUUAGGAUUGUAAAAUCCUUUCACCGGUGAAGAUAAUGACUGUAGCCGGAGAAGAAGCCCCGGCUAACUUCGUGCCAGCAGCCGCGGUAAUACGAAGGGGGCUAGCGUUGCUCGGAAUUACUGGGCGUAAAGGGAGCGUAGGCGGACAUUUAAGUCAGGUGUGAAAUCCCGAGGCUCAACCUCGGAACUGCCUUUGAUACUGGGUGUCUUGAGUGUGAGAGAGGUGAGUGGAACUCCGAGUGUAGAGGUGAAAUUCGUAGAUAUUCGGAAGAACACCAGUGGCGAAGGCGACUCACUGGCUCAUUACUGACGCUGAGGCUCGAAAGCGUGGGGAGCAAACAGGAUUAGAAACCCCGGUAGUCC